AUGCACGAAAGUGUGAUAAGGAGACUCCGAGUGCUUUCGGGAAACCGAAAGCUUUUGUCAAGUGUAGACAGCUUGAUGAAUAAGGACUGGGUAAGACCCGUGCCAGCCGCCGCGGUAAUACGGGCAGUCCAAGUGGUGUCCAUAUUUAUUUGGCCUAAAGCGUCCGUAGCCGAUUUGAUAAGUCUCUCGUGAAAUUGUUAAACUUAAUUUAGCAACGUGCGAGAGAAACUAUCAUUUUAGAGACCGGGGGGAGAUAGGAGUAUUCCUUGGGGAGCGGUAAAAUGCUUUAAUCCUUGGAAGACUACCCGUGGCGAAGGCGCCUGUCUACAACGGGUCUGACGGUGAGGGACGAAAGCUAGGGGCGCAAAACGGAUUAGAUACCCGUGUAGUCCUAGCAGUAAACGCUGUGAAUUAGGUGUUGCAUGUCUUUCGAGGACAUGCAGUGCCGUAGCGAAGGUGUUAAAUUCACCGCCUGGGAAGUACGGUCGCAAGGCUGAAACUUAAAGGAAUUGGCGGGGGAGCACAAGCCGAAUUCCAC
rnacentral:rRNA from 1 species